ensembl:lncRNA
AUGUUUUUUGUGACGCUCACUUCCUGCUACUUACGAUUUGCAACGUGGAAGUCACGCAUCGUCGAAGCAAGGCUCCUAAUUAUGAGGGUGUGCGGAGAUGCUAGCAGGUGGAGGAAAUUCCUUUGAUUAGCGCCCUUGGAGAGCGGAUUGAGUUUUCACGGUGUUCAAGAUGUUCACGACGUCAUGGUGCUCGUCGAGAGAAACGAAAUAAAUCAACACCCGUUUGAAACUCUCUGCGUCUUGAUCAAUCAAUCCGAGGGGCCGCUACACCAACCGCCGUCUAAAGUGCUCAGCAACCCCCCCAAGAUAUCACAGCCUGCAUGGGGUAGUUUGUCUUCCAACUCCCGUCUGGUCUGCAAAGCCGGCCAGAACUUGCUCCUGGGCCUGGACGAGGAGGACGGAUUGGGGGGAAACGGGAAACCUCUCCAGUGACCACCAGGGGGACUUUUCAUUGCAUAGAAGUCUACGGGGAAAUGACGCUUCUUCUCUCUGGAUUUACUCCCUCAGUAAACAUCGUAAACCCCUAUCAGCGCGGAAGGCCUCGGGUACCAGAGCCAAAUGAGAUUUGCAGGCGAGACCCGUGUGCUCUCCUCCCCCCUCGGAUGCCGCCGGCUGCAUGCAGGUUUUGGGCCAACUGAUAUUUUCCAGCGCGGCUGCGAGUUUGAAGGCAGAAAAAUGAUUUAACUCACUAAAACAACAGCAGGACGCACGGCGGACUUCAAGUCCCAGAGAACCCGAGAGGACGCGUGUCUCUCUGCGUCUGCCAGAGAAGAUCCAUCAGAGCCCGAAGCUGUGAUUCCAAUUCAACCAGCGUCUCCGCGGACAACUCUGCUUUCGUCACGCUAACAAUGUCAUAAUCUUACUGCGUUUCAGCAUAAAAGAAGCUCGCGACACCUUUUUUCCUGACACAUGCAAUGGGGGGCUCUUCUGGAUCUAACCUGC